AUUGAACGCUGGCGGCAUGCCUUACACAUGCAAGUCGAACGGUAACAGGUCUUCGGAUGCUGACGAGUGGCGAACGGGUGAGUAAUACAUCGGAACGUGCCCGAUCGUGGGGGAUAACGCAGCGAAAGCUGUGCUAAUACCGCAUACGAUCUACGGAUGAAAGCGGGGGAUCUUCGGACCUCGCGCGGACGGAGCGGCCGAUGGCAGAUUAGGUAGUUGGGGGGGUAAAGGCUCACCAAGCCUGCGAUCUGUAGCUGGUCUGAGAGGACGACCUGCCACACUGGAGCGGCGAACCGGCCCAGACGCCUACGGGAGGCAGCAGUGGGGAAUUUUGAACAAUGGGCGCAAGCCUGAUCCAGCCAUGCCGCGUGCAGGAUGAAGGCCUUCGGGUUGUAAACUGCUUUUGUACGGAACGAAAAGCCUUUCUCGAAUAAAGAGGGGUCAUGACGGUACCGUAAGAAUAAGCACCGGCUAACUACGUGCCAGCAGCCGCGGUAA
rnacentral:rRNA from 1 species